UGGGGAAUAUUGGACAAUGGGGGCAACCCUGAUCCAGCGAUGCCGCGUGUGUGAAGAAGGCCUGAGGGUUGUAAAGCACUUUAGUUGUUGAGGAAGGUUGUGUGGUGAAUACCCGCAUGACUUGACGGUAAACAAAGAAUAAGCACCGGCUAACUCUGUGCCAGCAGCCGCGGUAAUACAGAGGGUGCAAGCGUUAAUCGGAAUGACUGGGCGUAAAGGGCGCGUAGGCGGCCCUAUAAGUCUCGUGUGAAAGCCCUCGGCUUAACUGAGGAUCUGCACGGGAUACUGUAGGGCUCGAGUUCGGGAGAGGAAAGCGGAAUUCCGGGUGUAGCGGUGAAAUGCGUAGAUAUCCGGAAGAACACCAGUGGCGAAGGCGGCUCUCUGGACCAUUACUGACACUGAGGCGCGAAAGCGUGGGGAGCAAACAGGAUUAGAUACCCCCGUAGUCCCUGAGCGGGCUGGCAAGGCGCAU
rnacentral:rRNA from 1 species